rnacentral:rRNA from 1 species
GACGAACCGUCCUAACGUUAUUCGGAAUUACUGGGCGUAAAGCGCACGUAGGCGGAUCAGUCAGUUAGAGGUGAAAGCCCAGGGCUCAACCCUGGAACUGCCUUUAAUACUGCUGGUCUGGAGUCCGAGAGAGGUGAGUGGAAUUCCGAGUGUAGAGGUGAAAUUCGUAGAUAUUCGGAGGAACACCAGUGGCGAAGGCGGCUCACUGGCUCGGUACUGACGCUGAGGUGCGAAAGCGUGGGGAGCAAACAGG